rnacentral:rRNA from 1 species
UACGUAGGGGGCUAGCGUUGUCCGGAAUCAUUGGGCGUAAAGAGCGUGUGGGCGGCCCGGUAAGUCCGCUGUAAAAGUCAAAGGCUCAACCUUUGAAUGUCAGUGGAUACUGCCGGGCUAGAGUCCGGAAGAGGCGAGUGGAACUCCUGGUGUAGCGGUGGAAUGCGCAGAUAUCAGGAAGAACACCAACGGCGAAGGCAGCUCGCUGGGACGGUACUGACGCUGAGACGCGAAAGCGUGGGGAGCGAACAGG